rnacentral:rRNA from 1 species
UACGGAGGGGACUAGCGUUGUUCGGAAUUACUGGGCGUAAAGCGCACGUAGGCGGCUUUGUAAGUCAGGGGUGAAAUCCCGGGGCUCAACCCCGGAACUGCCUUUGAUACUGCGAAUCUCGAGUCCGGAAGGGGCGAGUGGAAUUCCUGGUGUAGCGGUGAAAUGCGCAGAUAUCAGGAGGAACACCAAUGGCGAAGGCAGCUCGCUGGAACGGUACUGACGCUGAGGCGCGAAAGCGUGGGGAGCGAACAGG